CUAUACACUUCCAUCUUUACCGGUUUCUCCACAUUAGCCUUGAGGAGGUCCUUGAGCAUUUCAUUCUCCUGACUAAAACGAUUAUGGCCAAUGGAUAUGAUGAAAUCAAAAAACGGUUCCAACCCAGCUUUCUCUGCCGCCUCUCCUCUUGGUGUUGCUCAUGGAGCCUCUCCAUUUGCAAGCGCUGCUGCUCCUCCGCGUGCUUCGCCAGG